UUGGUUGAAUUUGGUUGAGUAGUUUUAGAGGAGAAGAUUUUUUUAAAGUUAGCAAAUAUGAUGAACAAAUUGUGAAAAAUUGUCAUUAAAGGACAAUAACCCCUUAAGGGGUCAAUUGACAAUUUUGGUCAUAUUAACUUAUUUGUAGAUCUUACUUUGCUGAUCAUUUUUGCUGUUUACAGUUUAUCUUUAUCUAUAAUAAUAUUCAAGAUAAUGACCAAAAACUGCAAACUUUCCUUAAAAUUACCAAUUAAGUGGCAGCAACCCAACAAUGGGUUGUUUGAUUCAUCUGAAAAUUUUAGGGCUGAUAGAUCUUGACCUAAUGAACAUUUUUACCCCCAUGUCAGAUUUGCUUUAAAUGCUUUAGUUUUUGAGAUAUAAGCCAAAAACUGCAUUUGACCCCUAUGUUCUAUUUUAAGUAACGGCGGCCAUGUUUUUUGACGGAUCAAAAAUCGAAGCACAAACUUUGUGCAGGAUAAUCUAAGGAACAAUCAUGCUAAGUUUCAUCCAAAUCCAUUUAGUAGUUUCAGAGGAGAAGAUGUUUGAAAAAUUGUUAACGACGACAGACGACGACGACGGACGCCAAGUGAUGAGAAAAGCUCACAUUUCCUUUUAGGAAAGGUGAGCUAAAAACUGCAAAAUUUCCUUAAAAUUACCAAUUCAGGGGCAGCAACCUAGCAACGUGUCGUCCGAUCCAUCUGAAUAUUUCAGGGCAGAUAGAUUUUGACCUGAUAAACAAUUCAACCACAGUCAGAUUUGAUCUUAAUGCUUUGGUUUUUGACAUUUUACCCCUAUGUUCUACUUUUAGCCGUGACAGCCAUCUUGUUUGGAUGGCCGGGUCACCGGACACAUUUUUUAAACUAAAUACCCAAAAGAUGAUUGUGGCCAAGUUUGGAUUAAUUUGGCCCAGUAGUUUCAGAGAAGAAGAUUUUUGUAAAAGAUUACUAA
rnacentral:lncRNA from 1 species